CCCGCCGCCUUGCUGGAAGCUCGCAAGCGUCGCCGUGUUUUCCAUCGGUUCUCUAGCUACUUCGCUGUGGUUCAAUUCGAAGCCUCCUGCCGUGCUUCAAAAACCAGCAAAAGAAGCCUCAGGAAGAUUAAGUUGUCGUCCGUUUCGACCAGCCCUACUCCUCCACCAAACCUAUCCUGUCCAUCUGAGACUUCGAGUUGCACGCGCAACGAUGAGCAAUUCUUGGUGAACCAGAGUGCCUCAGUAAUCAAGAUCAGAGCCUUUGGCAACAAGUAAGACCAGCAAAACCCAAAAGGAUCAGCAAGAGCAAUUGGAUUAAG